rnacentral:pre_miRNA from 1 species
UCCCCUCCGCAGGCUGCAGCCCGGGCUGGGCUGGGCGAGGAGCUCUUCCGAAGGCUCACCCUCCAGCACGACUAGGAGC